AGUAAGUCUGGAUGCCCUGAAGAACUAUUCUUGAUGCCUGUAAACUUCAUAGAAGAUUUGUUUUUUAAAAUCUGAGAAAGCUUUGGGUGAGGGGCAAAGAAGGGACCUCAGGUGCUAUCUGGCCACAGCCACAUGACAAUUGGCCAUCUCUGGACACUUUUUAGUGUGGAGAUUAUCCAAAUACUACAUGUCAGAUGGGUGAUUUUCUUCCAGUACUCUAUGGCCAGGAUUGAUGUAUUUUGGGUUCCAGUCAAGUACAUAAGCCUUUGUUUCUUUCAUAAUAAUGCAUUCCAACAUACCUCGUCACUGUCCCUUGUUUCUGUGGAGUGGCAGAGAUUGGCCUGGAAGUCAGCUCACACUACGAUCAUGGAAACUUUCACAUAAGCAGGUUUAAUAAAACCAGUCACGCUAAUGAGAUUCAUGUAGCAAGAAACUAAGGAUGGCCUCCAGCCUACCUCCAGCCAGGAACUUCUGCUCUUAUUCAAACAGCACUUGAAGAACUGAGUCUUGCCAAUGACCACAUAAAUGAAUCUGGAAACACUUCUUCCCCAGAUAAAACUUCAAAUGAGACUACAGUCCCGACUAAAAUCUUGAUACAGCUUUAUGAGAAAUUAUGUGGCAGAAGACUAACCUAGGUCAUCCUCUGAUUUUUGAUC